rnacentral:rRNA from 1 species
UACGGAGGGUGCAAGCGUUAUCCGGAUUCACUGGGUUUAAAGGGUGCGUAGGCGGGCAGGUAAGUCAGUGGUGAAAUCUUUGGGCUUAACCCGAAAACUGCCAUUGAUACUAUCUGUCUUGAAUAUCGUGGAGGUUAGCGGAAUAUGUCAUGUAGCGGUGAAAUGCUUAGAUAUGACAUAGAACACCCAUUGCGAAGGCAGCUAACUACGCGAUAAUUGACGCUGAUGCACGAAAGCGUGGGGAUCAAACAGG